UACGAAGGGGGCUAGCGUUGCUCGGAAUCACUGGGCGUAAAGCGCACGUAGGCGGACUCUUAAGUCAGGGGUGAAAUCCUGGGAGCUCAACUCCAGAACUGCCUUUGAUACUGGAGGAUCUUGAGUACGGGAGAGGUGAGUGGAACUGCGAGUGUAGAGGUGAAAUUCGUAGAUAUUCGCAAGAACACCAGUGGCGAAGGCGGCUCACUGGCCCUAACUGACGCUGAGGCACGAAAGCG
rnacentral:rRNA from 1 species